rnacentral:sRNA from 1 species
UCUUUCACAAAUUUUGAUUACACAAGGGACUGUGUAAUUUAAGUUUGGGGGAGGGUUCAAGACCUAUUUGACUUAUUUUUUUUGUGAAUAUCAUUUGAGUCUGCAUAUCAUCUAAGUCAUAGAAAAAAAAUUAAAAUUU